ACUCCUACGGGAGGCAGCAGUGGGGAAUAUUGCACAAUGGGCGCAAGCCUGAUGCAGCCAUGCCGCGUGUGUGAAGAAGGCCUUCGGGUUGUAAAGCACUUUCAGCGAGGAGGAAGGUGGUGAGCUUAAUACGUUCAUCAAUGACGUACCGCA
rnacentral:rRNA from 1 species